UGCAGUCGAGCGGACAGAUGGGAGCUUGCUCCCUGAUGUUAGCGGCGGACGGGUGAGUAACACGUGGGUAACCUGCCUGUAAGACUGGGAUAACUCCGGGAAACCGGGGCUAAUACCGGAUGGUUGUUUGAACCGCAGGUUCAGACAUAAAAGGUGGCUUCGGCUACCACUUACAGAUGGACCCGCGGCGCAUAGCUAGUUGGUGAGGUAACGGCUCACCAAGGCAACGAUGCGUAGCCGACCUGAGAGGGUGAUCGGCCACACUGGGACUGAGACACGGCCCAGACUCCUACGGGAGGCAGCAGUAGGGAAUCUUCCGCAAUGGACGAAAGUCUGACGGAGCAACGCCGCGUGAGUGAUGAAGGUUUUCGGAUCGUAAAGCUCUGUUGUUAGGGAAGAACAAGUGCCGUUCAAAUAGGGCGGCACCUUGACGGUACCUAACCAGAAAGCCACGGCUAACUACGUGCCAGCAGCCGCGGUAAUACGUAGGUGGCAAGCGUUGUCCGGAAUUAUUGGGCGUAAAGGGCUCGCAGGCGGUUUCUUAAGUCUGAUGUGAAAGCCCCCGGCUCAACCGGGGAGGGUCAUUGGAAACUGGGGAACUUGAGUGCAGAAGAGGAGAGUGGAAUUCCACGUGUAGCGGUGAAAUGCGUAGAGAUGUGGAGGAACACCAGUGGCGAAGGCGACUCUCUGGUCUGUAACUGACGCUGAGGAGCGAAAGCGUGGGGAGCGAACAGGAUUAGAUACCCUGGUAGUCCACGCCGUAAACGAUGAGUGCUAAGUGUUAGGGGGUUUCCGCCCCUUAGUGCUGCAGCUAACGCAUUAAGCACUCCGCCUGGGGAGUACGGUCGCAAGACUGAAACUCAAAGGAAUUGACGGGGGCCCGCACAAGCGGUGGAGCAUGUGGUUUAAUUCGAAGCAACGCGAGAACCUUACCAGUCUUGACAUCCUCUGACAAUCCUAGAGAUAGGACGUCCCCUUCGGGGGCAGAGUGACAGUGUGCANGGUUGUCGUCAGCUCGUGUCGUGAGAUGUUGGGUAAGUCCCGCACGAGCGCACCCUGAUCUAGUGCCAGCAUCA
rnacentral:rRNA from 1 species